GCGACGUGUUGAGCUAACCCAUACUAAUUACCCGUGAGGCUUAACCAUACAACACCCAAGAAGUGUUCU
rnacentral:rRNA from 1 species